rnacentral:rRNA from 1 species
CCCUUAGAUGUUCUGGGCCGCACGCGCGCUACACUGAACAGUUCAACAAGUCUUAACCUUGGCCGAUGGGUCUGGGUAAUCUUUGAACGCUGUUCGUGAUUGGGAUAGACCUUUGCAAUUAUGGGUCUUCAACGAGGAAUUCCUAGUAAACGCAAGUCAUCAGCUUGCAUUGAUUACGUCCCUGCCCUUUGUACACACCGCCCGUCGCACCUACCGAUUGAAUGGUCCGGUGAAAUCUCGGGACGGCGGCUUGGUCGCUUGCGUCCGACUGCUGAAACUUGAUUAAACCAUAUCAUUUAGAGGAAGGUGAAGUCGUAACA